rnacentral:rRNA from 1 species
GUAGGUGGCAAGCGUUGUCCGGAAUUAUUGGGCGUAAAGCGCGCGCAGGCGGUCCUUUAAGUCUGAUGUGAAAGCCCACGGCUCAACCGUGGAGGGUCAUUGGAAACUGGGGGACUUGAGUACAGAAGAGGAAAGCGGAAUUCCAAGUGUAGCGGUGAAAUGCGUAGAGAUUUGGAGGAACACCAGUGGCGAAGGCGGCUUUCUGGUCUGUAACUGACGCUGAGGCGCGAAAGCGUGGGGAGCAAACAGGGAUUAGAUACCCUGGUAGUCCACGCCGUAAACGAUGAGUGCUAAGUGUUAGGGGGUUUCCCGCCCCUUAGUGCUGCAGCUAACGCAUUAAGCACUCCGCCUGGGGCGUACGGCCGCAAGGCUG